rnacentral:lncRNA from 1 species
AGCUUAAAUCAUAAAAAUUAUAUUAAUUAAACAUUUUAAAAGGGCAAUCGAGAGAUGCUAUAUCGCGAAAGUAUAUGCUUUUUUAUUGUAUUCCUAUUCUUGUGUAUAUAUCUUCUUUAUGCACACAUGAAAUUUUUAAAUAGUUAAUUUUUGAUUGAUAAUUAAUUUGGCAUAGCGUUUUCUGACUGUCUUGUAAAAUGUUCAAUUAAUAUAAUUUUUAUAAUUUAAGUUUCUAAUUUACUUCUUUCAAUGUUCUAAUUACAAUGUUCUAGUAACAUAAUAAAAAUAAAUGUAAUUUAGUUUUAAAGUAUUUUAUGUACUUUUAUACCUUUUAUUAAUAUUAAUUAUAUUUUAUUUACUAUACUUAGAUACUACUUCAUUAAACUGCGUUCCCUCGGGAUUUGCAGUUUUAUCAUCAGGUAUAUGUUUUCAAUAUACAAAAUAUAGUUUUUUUAACCCUACCGCCCUGGCCAUUAUGCAAUCUCACAAAUAUCACUACCCUCCCCUUCUCGGCUCUCUACUUCCUCUUUUUUUAUCUCUUCCCCACUACCAUCAUCAACAUAUCUACAACAAUCCACCAAUCUUUUCGCCACCUGUUCUUAUGCGACCUUACUAAUAAUAUUUCUCUCCCCCUCCACGCCUAUCCUUCUUACUUUCCUUCCUUUCCUCUUUCUUCUCCUCCUUCGCGGCCGCUCUAAACUCACCUCGCCUCCCUCCUCACCUUUCCUCCUCCUUUUCCCCCUUUUUCUUUUUUUCCUGUCAUCCUUCUCUAUUCCCCAUUGCCCUCCCUUCAUCUCCCCCUUUCUCCAUCCUAACUCUAUUUCCUUUCCUCUACCCAUAACUCCUUAUUUGAAACCUCCACCCUUUUACUGUUCGUCCUUUCCUUUGUUGCCGUCUCUAAAAUCCUCCACCUCAUCCUCCUCUCCUCUAUUGUAAGAUCCUUCCACCCCACAUAAUCUUGUCCUCCUCAUCCGUCCUCUUCUCCAACUUCUUCCAACUCUUAUAUCUUGACAACUCCAUUCUUGCCUUUGCCUGAUUUCCCGAUCACUGUUUCUGCCUUUUCCUCUCCCACCUUCUUUUCUUUUUCUCCUCUCCUUUUCUCUCUUCACUACCUCUACCUUCGUCUCCUCUUCUCCCUCUCUCAUCUCCGCCUUCUCUCUCUUCUCUCUUCUUUCCACUAACCGGCUUGUUUUCAAAACCUUCACUAUCUCCUCUACACACCUCCUUAUCCUUGUUACCUCCCUUAUCAAAUCCUCCAUUCUCUCUUCCUCCAGCUAUUUAUCUUCUCCACCUUUUUCUUUUCAACCUCUCUCACUCCUCCACCACUCACUAGUUUCUCCUUUUCGCCUCUCAGCAGUCAGUCUCAAAUGUGUUCUGUCGAUAUCUCUCCGCCAAUCACCUCUCACUGCUACCAUUGCAUCUGCUUCAAGCCAUUUCCAACAUAACGCCACCUGCCGGGAUCCUUCAUCCGUAGUCACCCAUCCACUAUUCUCUUCCGUCCAUUCUUGCUCCCUCUCAACCUAUCUCCUACUCCUCCAAUUAGUCGACGUUGCUUCUUCAAUCUUCUCAUCCUCUUUAAAAUAAAAAAAAACAAAUUAUAUCCACUCCAUAAUUUUCCCCCUAAAAAUGAUAGGAUGAAGUGAUUGGUUUAUUUUUUGUAUUAGAAAGUAUUCCGAGGAACAUCUUGUACGGAUACUUUCUAAUACAAAAAAUAAACCAAUCACUUCAUCCUAUCAUUUUUAAGGGAAAAAUUAUGGAGUGGAUAAAAUUUAUUUUUUUUAUUUUAAAGAACACUUUUACAAAAGAUUUAAGAAAGAACAAGCCAUUUGACGAGAUUAUCAUAUUAUUAUUAUCAUAUCUAUUAUUUAAAUUUUCAAGAGAAGCAGUAAAAAAUUUUAUUAUGAAAAGUUGUUGGCUGUUACACCAAAAUUCUCUUUUUUCUAAACCGGUGUAUGCUACUGUUGAUAAGUUCAUGGAGGUUCAUCCCAAUUUAAAUUCAGUGAACCAUCAUAUAGAGAAUUGGCAGUACAAUUUAUAUCAAAAUGAUUAUCUAAAGGUGUACUUUUAGUUUCUCAAGUAUGCUACUAUCUUAUGGCAGGCCAAGUAAGAGAAUAGUUACAAGGGUUAUAAUUUUAUUUAAAAAAAUACUAUAUUGCAACUGUGGCUCUUAAAUUAAGAUAUUGUAAAACCAUUUCUUUUUUAGAUUAUUAAAAUAGAUAAAAAGUGAGAAAUCUUGUCUGAAACAACAAAAUUACAACAAAGUUACAAAUUAUAAAGUCCGCUGGUCUGCCGAUGACAUGAUCACAGGCUGUAAUAUCGGAAAUAAUAUGGAUGCCAAGAAUGACCUCUACGUCUUAGUUUAUUUAGUAACAGCUGUAACGUACCGUAUUUCCUAUGCGGACUUUUAGCUCGCCGGGAUCAGGUGUAGAAAAGGUCCCUGAGACAGUAGACUCGAUUCGAUUGAGUUUAAUAAAAACGUUAUAAUAUAUUUUAUUCUUAAGAACGUAUGUACAAGUAUUUACAGUUAGAUUCUAUAUACAAAGUGUCGCUUGGUUGGAACAGCUAUUCGUCGGUCGCGUGAAUAUCUUGGUGGGAGUGCGGCGACGAGCCGACGGGCAAUGCCCUGAAGCGGGAAGCCGAGUUUCGUGACGCGGUGAGGCGUGCGGUGCGGCGGGCGGUAAUUGCCAGAGCCUCGAGAUCGGUGGUGCGCGGUAUGAGACGUGAAGCGCAGUGUGUUUUGACGUAUCACGCGGUGAUUUCGGAUUUUAUCGUAACUCAGGAACGCCGGCGUCAAUCUCGAGAAUUCUCGAGGGAGGCGGAGAACACUCUACCCCGCUGUAUUCGAGCCAAUUAGGUGUUAAGGAAGAUCCGUAGCCGAGAACUCUCGGCGAAGGCGGAGACGCUCUACCCUCUACUACGGGAUCGUAACUAGGAGUUUUAGAUGCGAGCGGUACCAAAAGCUCUUGGUUAAGGCAGAGAACACUCUACCCUAAUCACCGUGUCGCAGGAAGCUUCUCUUGGUCGUAUUCUGGUCGAGAGCGGAGUACCAGUAUAUGGUCGGAUCGAGAAGUCUCGCAGCCUCCACCGGAGCGGCCUUUUAUACCCGCCCGGGUGGAGGAUCGGAGAUCCUCAUGGAUCUUCGGUUUUCCCCGUGCUCGUUCGCUCCCGUGGAGGCUGGGAGAGCACAGGGAAAAGCGCGGAGCGGAGACGAUGAUCGUCUCGACGCUCUUUUUAUGCAGCGAUUAGGACGGGCCGGUGCCCGUUUUGCGGCCCGGCGGGUGUUCGGCCGGGUCGUGCGCAGUGGGUGAUGCCGGCGGACGGGAGGUCCCCUUGUAAGACAAAUAAUCCUUAGGCAGCCAUAUAAACAUAUUUGCGAUAUUGCAGCCUGUGAUUACGUCAUCGGCAGGCCAGCUAGGUGAUACAGCUUGUAUACUUUGUUGUUAUUGUUUCAGACAAGAUUUCAUUCUUUUUAUCUAUUUCAAUACAUUGCAAAAAAAUAAACCGUUCACUUCAUCGUUUCAUUUUUUUGUAAAACUACGUUAUAUUUAAUAUAAUCAAGACAUAUUCUAUUAAACACACUGUUAAUUUCGAGUUAAUUAUACUAUAUAUAUAUAUAUAGUAUUUAGAGAAGAGAAUUACUUACACAAAAAGAGAGAAAGAGAAAGAGAGAGAGAGAGAGAGAGAGAGAAAGAAAGAAAGAGAGAAAUAAAAUAAACACACACUCAUGCAUAUAUACAGAGUGUCCUGCAUAAGUGUGAAAGUCUUCAUAGAAAAAGAGACGGAAUGAAAAUAAAAGUCUACCAUAGUUUUUGGAUAUUUCCAAUGACAGCCAAGAUAUUAAUUUUUUAAAUUGUAUGAAUGAGAGCGCGUCGAGGGAAGCGGCGAGCCGCUCGAGGUAUAGGAUGGCCCACUGUGUCAAGCAUUGGCUGUCGGCGCUGGGGAGAGGGAAGAAAGAGAAGCGUGGCGAAGCACGAGCAAUGGCGCGCUUCUUCUCCUUUUCCCCCCGCCGCCGGCAGCCAAUGCUUGACAUAGUGGACCGAGCUAUAACUCGAGCGGCUAUAACUCGGCACUUCCCUCGGCGCGUUCUCAUUAGUACAAUUUAAAAAAUUAUUAUCUAAGCUAUCAUUGGAGAUAUCAAAAAAUUAGACUUUUACAUUCACCUUGAUCCUGUCUAUCUUUCCAUGAAGACUUUCAUACCUUAUGCGGGACAUCCUGUAUACAUAUGUACAUACAGGCUCAUAUGUGUAUAUGCACAUACUAUACGUAUAGACAUUACUAGACAAUGUUAUAUCCUCCCUGCGUCUCUCUCUCUCUCUCUCUCUCUCUCUCUCUCUCUCUCUCUCUCUCUCUCUCUCUCCUUACUUGCUGCUUAUUUGUCUUUUUCUAUCCAUCUACUUUAAGUUUAAAUAAAGUGUUUCUUCUUCUCUUUCUUUUGAUAUAAUAAUUAAAAAUAACACCAAAACUAAAACCAUAACACAAAGUAUUAACUUAUCUCAAAAUAUUUAUUUUCAUAAAAAAAUAAAAAUUUUGUGUAAUAUACUUAUUUGAUUGUAUAGCAUAAUGUUAUACUAAUCUUCAAAUUAGGCAGAGCCGUUUUUUCUUCCACAAUGUAAUCCACGAUGUAAUAGGCAUAUUAUGAAAA